AUCUGGAGGGCACGCAUCCCCCCUAAAGUCAAGGUUUUCAUCUGGCAAGCCUCCCGUGGGCGCCUGCCGACGGGUGACCAAAUUCGUAAGCGUAAUGGCCCGGGAUCGGAAAGUUGUGCUUUAUGUGGCAUGAGAGAGGACACUUCACAUGUCUUCUUCAACUGUGUGUUGGCUAAUCUGUUUUGGUGUUGUAUCAGAUCCUGGCUGUGUGUUUGUUGGGCUCCGACCUCCUUUUCCGAACUGCGCAUCUUGGUUGAUUCUUUGGUUGGGGCCCAGAGGAGAUUGUUUUGGGUGGGCUUCGCAGCCAUGUGCUGGUCCCUUUGGACGACAAGGAAUAAAUUUACCAUCGAACAUGUUUUCCCUGCUAAGCCUGCUGAUUGCUUAUUUAAGACCUGUGUAUUCCUGCAGCAGUGGAGAUCAUUGACUAAGGAGGAGGACAAGGACGCCCUCGACGCCAUGUUGGCCAAGAUUCGCAAUUCUGCUAUCUCCAUCUCCCCAGUCCAUGCUGGAACUUAG
rnacentral:rRNA from 1 species